AGGGGGUGAAAAGCGCAUAGGUAACGUGCCCCGUCGCGGGAUAAAAACAUGUGGAUGAGAAAGCUUAAACCGCAUAAAAUUUUAUGGCGCGUGACUUUUAUUUGAAAGGGGCCUGUGCCUCACUACCAAAGGGACGUGCCUUGUUUCAGCUAGUUGGAGAGAAGGUGUCUCCCCCCCGACAAGGCAAUGACCCCCCGAGAGGGUGAGAUGACCCCCUGUGUUGGUGACGACACACCCCCCCCACUCCUGGGGGAGGCAGGAGGGAAUUCUCCGCCGUGGGGGAGUCCCCGAACACACAACCCCCCGAGAGAAAAGAGUGAUUUUUUCGAAUUAACUCUUUUGUGAGAAAAAAAAAAGUGUGAGAGAGAAAAGUGCACACUGAGUGACUGUCUCACCCCAAAGAGAGGGGGCUAACUGCGUGCCCCGCCCGCGAUACAACGGCCGAGCGCAUUGUUGUUUUAAUUUGCGGGUAGUGAGGGCAGGCGCGGAGAUUUGUCUGUGAUGAUAGGAGGUGCGUCUUCCCCAUUCAGCUUUGUAUAUAGUUUCUGUCUAGUGUGAUGGGGAGAGAGUGAGUGUAAUUCCAUGUGCAGCGGUGUGUGAUAUGAUAGAUGAGACGAAGGCGGGAGAGGGUCUCUGUGUUGUGUUUUUGACUCUGAGUCUAAAGUGCGAGGCGCGAAUAGGAGAACAGACACCACUGACCCCCCGCCGCCACA
rnacentral:rRNA from 1 species